GGUGCUUUCACCCACUGGUGGCUGCCCACCCCCACCUAUGGGUGGGCUUCUGAACCAGCAGGGGCAUUUCUCACCGUGGUGUCAGGGAUUGGAUAUAAUUCAUCUUUAGACCAGAGAAAUGAAUACAGUAUUCAGUGCAGUGCCGUAAUAUGCCGUGUCAUUAUUAACAAAUAGCACUGUCCAGGCAUGUGGGGCGAAAUACAAAGAGGGAGAAAUGAACAGGCCCUUGCCUGCUGAUUGACUGACUUUCAUCAUCAGGAUAGACCACUCGCCCUGCUCUUGGAGAAGCAGAAGAAUGCUUUGCUUUUCUGAGGUUUAAGCUUCUAGAAACCGCAAGCCUUCAGAAAAGCACUACCCCGAAAUUAAACUGAUGUCUGAGGAGGAGAAUGUUCUGCCAGCUAGCUAAGACCAAGACGGCCCAGAGCACCCAGCGUCAGACGGAUGCCAACACACGCUGCCCCCCCGGGGGAGCCUGCCCAUUUCUCGUGGAGGCAGGAGCCAGAAAAAAGGGAGGAGUAGCUACAUCUCUUGAGGAGAAUCAGGCGGGUAUUUUGGAGAAGCAGGGCCUUCUCACAGAGGAAGCUCACAGGUGCCCCUCUUCUGACCAUCCCCCCCACCCGGGGAGAGACUGGGGGGCAAACCACGCGGGUGGAGUGGAGUCCAGGGAAAAUGAUGGAGAUAUUGCGCUGACACCAACCCCCUACUCAUGGACCCUUUGACUGGGGUGCAUGGGCUGGUCCCCAGCAGGCCUUUGAAAAAUGCUGAUGGGCAGACAGCCCUCCACUGAGUUUCCGUGCAAUCCCAGAAGUGCCUGCUCUGUACUCAGGACAGAGCCUAAGCCCCGACCUAUGACAGGAGGGAUUCACUUCCUGGCCUAAGGGACCUGUUGGCCUUCGGGAAGGUAAGCGAGGUAGGAAGCGGAGGCCCAGAGGAGUCAAGCCAGUAAUUUACAUGAUAGACACUCUGACAGUGGAAGGUCAUGGAGACCCUUCAGUGUGGAUCAUCUCUAAAUCCUUUUCUCUUAUAUCCUUUUAUACCAGGAAAUAAAGGUGUACAGUUCUCCCAACUUAA